UGAUGUAGAAGGCAUGUGGCCAGAUGAUGCAAUUGAAUACUGGUGUUUUAUCGUUAGAAGUUCUGCGUCAUUCCAUAAGAAAGCUGCUCUUCUUUUGGUUUCAUAAGAGAUGGUGAACAAUGUUGAUCUUCUUCCAUGGAAGGGUUUGGAGAGAUUCAGAGACUAUGCGGCUGCCUCCAUCUUUCCGAUUUCCUGCUCAAUCUUUUUUGACAUAAUUAUUUUGAAUUUGGAUAGUGGUGAUGUUUGCACAGCAUUGUGAAUGUAUUUAAUGGCACUGAAUUGUAUACUUGAAAAUGGUUGAAAUACUAAAUUUUGUUUUAUGUGUAUUUUACCAUAAUAACAAAGAUGAAAGAACAGCAUAAACCAGAAUUAGGUAAGAUGAUAGAACUCAGGAUAGAAUUCAAAAUAAAAGAAAAAUAUUUCAGAAAUGAAGACUAAAUUUAAAAUAAUACAAGAGCGGGGACUUCCCUGGUUGUCCAGUGGUUAAAAAUCUGCCUUCCAAUGCAGGGAAUGCAGGUUCGAUCCCUGGUUGGGGAAUGGAGAUCCCACAUGCUGC